UACGUAGGGGGCAAGCGUUGUCCGGAUUUAUUGGGCGUAAAGAGCGUGUAGGCGGUUUGGUAGGUCCGUUGUGAAAACUCGAGGCUCAACCUCGAGACGCCGAUGGAAACCAUCAGACUAGAGUCCGGAAGAGGAGAGUGGAAUUCCUGGUGUAGCGGUGAAAUGCGCAGAUAUCAGGAAGAACACCCGUGGCUAAGGCGGCUCUCUAGUACGGUACUGACACUGAGACGCGAAAGCGUGGGGAGCGAACAGG
rnacentral:rRNA from 1 species